GGGUUCCACCUCUUCCCAUUCCGAACAGAGAAGUUAAGCCCGAUUGCGCCGAUGGUACUGCAUGUUGUGGGAGAGUAGGUAGCCGCCAUCU
rnacentral:rRNA from 1 species